CCAACAUUAGGGCCCAUGUCUCCAGGUUCUUUGUCCAUGAGAAUGUAAAUAGACAACAAGAGCUAAAGGAUUUGGCAGUGGGACAGUUAGAGUCUCUACUCAACUCCAUCAACAUCUUCCUCAUUGUACCACCCUUGUGGUUUACCCGCUCUGGGAAUGGAGGCAGCAGCAGGAGAUACAACAGGAGUGGAAUGGUUGAGCUGUGACUGAGGGUGCCUGGCUGGGACGAAGUGCUGAGAAAAGGUCACAGAGAACUUGGGCACCAAGCCCACAGUGGGUCGUUAUCCCUGGGCCUCGAGCAGCACGGAGGGUGGACCAAAAAACUGCAUGAGAUGAUGAUUUCAGGGACUGUGGGGAUGAAGAGCGAUGAGGCGUGGAGAACAGUCUCUUCAACAACACAAUCAGAGCGUGACAGCAAAAAUAAACUGUCAAUUUGAUCAGCUUGGGAGUCAUCCAGAG
rnacentral:lncRNA from 1 species